rnacentral:misc_RNA from 1 species
AUAACAGUCAACUACAAACUUUCCUAAAUCCACCUUUUUGCUUGAGAAAAAGGACUGAUUAUUGCUUUCCAUGUCCUUUGAGAAACACAAGGAUAACAUGAGAUGCUAGUUUUUAUAAAAUUUCAGAUUCUGAUUAACUGGUUCUGCAAACUUUAAAUGCAUACGACUGUGUCUAUUUGGAGACAAAGCAACAAUAUAAACUUUUGCAAAAGUGUAUGUGCAUGAUUACGUUGUAUGCAUUUUGUUGGAUCAGUCACUGAAACUCCCAAGAUAAACACUUGCUGAGUGGAAUAAUAUACUGUUGUUAU